rnacentral:rRNA from 1 species
AUGGCGACCGGCGCACGGGUGAGUAACACGUAUCCAACCUGCCGAUAACUCGGGGAUAGCCUUUCGAAAGAAAGAUUAAUACCCGAUGGCAUAAUUAGACCGCAUGGUCUUAUUAUUAAAGAAUUUCGGUUAUCGAUGGGGAUGCGUUCCAUUAGGCAGUUGGUGAGGUAACGGCUCACCAAACCUUCGAUGGAUAGGGGUUCUGAGAGGAAGGUCCCCCACACUGGUACUGAGACACGGACCAG